rnacentral:rRNA from 1 species
GAGUUUGAACCUGGCUCAGGACGAACGCUGGCGGCGUGCCUAACACAUGCAAGUCGAACGGAGAUAUAUGCUGAAGAAUAGCUUGCUAUGAUUCUUAUAUAUCUUAGUGGCGGACGGGUGAGUAACGCGUGAGCAACCUACCUUUCAGAGGGGGAUAACGUUUGGAAACGAACGCUAAUACCGCAUGAUAUUAUUAAGCUGCAUGGCUUGAUAAUCAAAGGAGCAAUCCGCUGAAAGAUGGGCUCGCGUCCGAUUAGGUAGUUGGUGAGAUAACGGCCCACCAAGCCGACGAUCGGUAGCCGGACUGAGAGGUUGAACGGCCACAUUGGGACUGAGACACGGCCCAGACUCCUACGGGAGGCAGCAGUGAGGGAUAUUGGUCAAUGGGGGAAACCCUGAACCAGCAACGCCGCGUGAGGGAAGACGGUUUUCGGAUUGUAAACCUCUGUCCUCUGUGAAGAUAAUGACGGUAGCAGAGGAGGAAGCUCCG